AUUGAACGCUGGCGGCAUGCCUUACACAUGCAAGUCGAACGGUAACAGGUCUUCGGAUGCUGACGAGUGGCGAACGGGUGAGUAAUACAUCGGAACGUGCCUAGUAGUGGGGGAUAACUACUCGAAAGAGUGGCUAAUACCGCAUGAGAUCUACGGAUGAAAGCAGGGGAUCGCAAGACCUUGUGCUACUACAGCGGCCGAUGGCAGAUUAGGUAGUUGGUGGGAUAAAAGCUUACCAAGCCGACGAUCUGUAGCUGGUCUGAGAGGACGAUCAGCCACACUGGGACUGAGACACGGCCCAGACUCCUACGGGAGGCAGCAGUGGGGAAUUUUGGACAAUGGGCGCAAGCUUGAUCCAGCAAUGCCGCGUGCAGGAUGAAGGCCUUCGGGUUGUAAACUGCUUUUGUACGGAACGAAAAGCCCCGGGUUAAUACCCUGGGGUCAUGACGGUACCGUAAGAAUAAGCACCGGCUAACUACGUGCCAGCCGCCGCCGUAA
rnacentral:rRNA from 1 species